UUUGGCUAAACUCGUUUGGAGAAAAAAGACGGGUUCCUUUCAGGAAAAAAUGGCAGCAGUUGACAUCGACAUGCAGAUGGAACUAGAGCCACAAAUAAUUAUUGACGCCGACAUGAAGAGGUAGCUAAAUAUGCACUUUUUCAUGCAUGUGUACGGGUUGUGAAGAAAGUACUCUUUGUUAUUUGAUCGAAAUCCGAGCAUAAUCGUAAUUUAUAUUUAGCGGGGCCUACCUGGCUAGCUAACUAACAGUAGCUCGCUAACUGUCUUUCACCAACUAACAAGGGUUAUGUAACGUUAGCUACAACUAACUAGUUAAUCCAAGGGGCAAGAAAGAGUGCCAUUGUCAAGUCUCCAGACAGAACGUUAACUAUGCCAUUUGUUCCAUCGUAUUGGCAAUUAACGUUACUUUACAAUGACAAAAUGGGUUCGAGGUUGUAGUUUAUCUAGCUAACGUUAAUUGACAAUCUGCAAACCACCCUGAACUGUGCUGUUUUUCUCUGUGUAUCCUUUGUCACUGCAUUAUUGGCACUCAUGUUAGGUUGCCUAUGGAUUAUCCUAGGAAGCCAAAAGUGGCCACCGCAUCUGACUAGAGAAUAAAACCAUGCUGAGGCCAGACGGAAUGACCCAUUUCUCAGUCACGAUGAUAAUGCCAUCAUAGUAUCUACCUGCCACACAAGUGUCAAUAACUGAACUGUGUGUAUGUAUAUCGGUCUGCUCAUUACAUUUUUCAAAUGAACGGAUGUGGCCCUUUUUUUGCCUACUUAGCGUCGAGAUCCAGUUAUCAAUGAUCUUUGUGCACGCUAGUUAGCAACUCUUAGCAUUUAAGUUUGGUUUUCAAAAGAAACGAAGUGUGAACUUGAUGUGGUGGCAGAAUAUCACGCUGUUAAACCUGCAUAAAUUGCAGGUAGUUUACAUGGAUGGGCAUAAUGGAAGAAAGCUGAUGUGGACAGUUUACCAAAACAAAACGACACAAUUACUGUUGACUAACCCCAUUCUGUACAAAUUGGCGCAACCGCGGCAGUCAAACGAGACUGCAAUGAAAAGUAAUAGGACCGUGUUGGCAUCAAAAUCUGGGUUGUGAACUACGUUUCUAUUCAAGCAUUGAUUGACAUGGUAAUAGCCCGAUAGUAUUGUAGAAAAGUUGAAAAAACUGACCCCUAUGACGCUAUCUUAAAUGUGACGUGUCAUGACGUAACGUACCCACGCAUUAUGCAACUCAUUCUGUGUCGUACAGCCUCUCUCCACCAGGUGUAGCUCUUCUCGCAGAUUAAAAACAAGAAAGGGACAGGGUAAGGGGGGUACCUAGAUAGUUUGCAUAAUCGCUGCGAGCCACCAUGACUCUCAAAAGCCGCGACAGCCACUGUUUACUUCUGAAGUGCCGCCCUAAAAACCCGACAAACUUCAAAUAGGUUUCGUUUCCCCACCCGCCAUUUUUAAAAAGACCCAACGGAGCUCAUUGCCUUCUUCAAUCAUGCAGAGACGGGCUGCAUGACGGUCUUGUCGUUGAUUUUGCAGGAAAUGGUAGAUAUUGUGCUUUACAAUGGUAUUCAUAUUACAGUUGACCUGGAAGUAUGAUGUUUUUUGGGCGUUAAAAUAAGGUCAGUUGUACGUUAUAGCGUGAUGUACAAAAGUGCGUUAGCUAACUAUAGGUGGUAAACCGUAGUAAGCUAGUUGCAUUCGUUUUCGAGAUGAUCGAUCUCUGUUGAGGGAGAAGCUGGUUUUAACAAUGUAUAGGUCUAUUAAUUAAUUCUGAACACAUUCCGUUUGUCAAAAUAAUGACUUAUGUUCGGUAGCUGGACAGGCAAACGCCGCCAAAUACUAAACUGUAAACCAAUAUAAACUUGUGUAAUAUCGCUGCUGAUCACGUUAUCCGUAUCUAACGUAGUAGACAGCUGGUGACAUCGAGAGAUCUCCUUCCGACAAACUGCUAUCAGCUCUCCUGUGUCCCUCUCCCAGAGAUCAACCAAGUGCUAUUCGCCAAGCAUGGGCUGUAAGGAGAACCAUCCUACUGCAGUUUGAACUAGCCCUGCUGUCACUAUUUAGUCAUUGGAACCAGAUAUGCAUUUGCCUGCUGUCUUUUCUUUUUGGGGUUGGUCUUAAACAAUCUAGUGCAUUUUAGAGUUGAAGAACACCAACUGCAGAUAUGUGCCUGUUUGAACAUCUCAAAGACUCAAUUCAAUGUGAACCAGUUUAACAGGUGACAAUUAUUUUACUAUUGUAACAUGCAUUGGGGAGAAUUCUAUUGUCCCCGUCAGGAGCCCAGGCUUUUGCCAUAGAUGGUAGAGUUCUCGUCUCUGGACCACACAAGACACAAACUUUAGAUUGCAUUCCGCUAAGGCACUUGUCUGUCUACAUCGGUCCGCUACAUUAGUGACUAGGGUGGGAUCCUUUCAAUCCGCCUAUAGGGCUUGGGUACACAAAUGCUCCUAGAGAGGUGGGGGAAAACUGAAGCAUGCGUUGAUGACUCUUCUACAGUCUCAGAGGCCCAGGCUUUUGGCAUACAUGGUAAAAGCUUUUAAUUUCUGGACUAAGAUUGUGCCCUCCAUGGCAAUAAAUAGACGUUGAUUGGUAGGUUACACUAUAUUUAGAUAAUGGAAAACAUGUCUCGUACUCAGUCAUAGUUAGUAGUAGAAUAAUGAAUGGAUUGGCAAGAUAUGACACUGUCAACUUUUAAAGGUUAAUAAUUUAAACCACCUAAAUAUACUCGCAUACACUGAACAUUUAGUAUUUAAAACUCACAUUUCCGAACUAUAAUCCUACAGGCUCUAUUAUUCUCCAUACCUUAUUCCAAUGCAUCCUACAUUAUGCAUGGUAUUGAGAAGCUGCUAUUUGAGAACUCACCUCGUUUAGAAAUUUAACUAUGGUUUGUGAAGACCCUCCCACCCUGUUUGCCAAAUUCUUUCUCUCUGCUCU